ensembl:snRNA U4 U4 spliceosomal RNA
AGUUUUGCACAGUGGCAGUAUCAUAGCUGGUGAGGUUUAUCCAAGGCACAAUUAUUGCUAAUCGAAAAUUUUUCCAAUACCCAGUCAUGACGACUUGAAAUAUAGUUGGCAUUGGCAAUUUUUGCAAGUCUCUAAGGAGA